GUUUGCAGUUGAUUAUUUUUUAAAUUAUUAUUACGUAUUAUAAAUAAUUGCAGAAUGAUAUUUAGCAUACUUAUUGUAAUAUCGUAUCUAUAUAUCAAUAUCGUAUUAAGCGCUUGUCAACGCUGCCGUCUAUUGAUGUUGCAGACUGGUUGUAAUUGCGUCUCUUACUUUUUCUUUUUUGGCUGUGAAACAACAGCCUGGGCCAGUGUUGUCACCUUGUGGACAAUUUAUGGCGUAUUUAGACUCCGUCCACCUCAGCUUUUUAUAACUCGUAAGAGAUAGUAGAAAUAACUGCAAAGCUCCCGGUAAUCCACUUUUAUUUGCUUCGGUGGCUCUGAUAGGUGUUUGCUGUGACAGGAACUUCUUCACUUGAUUGUUUUAAAGGACUCCCAUCCAUACUGUUGUAGCACUGUACCAGACAGCACACUAUUCGGAACUGAGAAUCAGUGCAGUUCCUCCUGUACAGAGCUGCACUGAAUGGAGCAGAGCUGGCACACACCUAGAACAAUGAGAGUCAAGCCAGGUCCUGUCAGUGGGAUGGUGGUCAUUUGCAAGAGAGGAAACUCGCUGAGUGGUUAAGGUAGGAGUAGAGUGUCUAAUAUUGUUACAUCAUCUUUUCAUAUUUUGCUUUAUUCAUAAUGUAUAACAUGCCUAUUUUAUUAGUCCUAGCAGAAAAAAAGACAAAAACACAAUCAUAUUGAAUAUGGCUCCAUUCAUAAUGUAUGCAACAUGUAGUGACUGGUGGAAUUUUGUAUUUUUUUUUAAUGGUUAAUUUACACUAUACCUUUGUUUUUCAUCUCAGGAUAAUGUUUACAGUGGUGUCACCAGCGAUCUGCCUGACCUAAAAAAGUGUUAAAAAAAAAAAAACAUAGUAACAUACCAUUACACAAUCACAGUUAUUAGUAUUUGUAUUUUACAUAACUAUUACACAGUAUCAAAGUUUCUAAAAUUUUUGUGUGGAUAUUUACAUGUUUAAAUUACACUGGUGAGCAAGAAACCAUAUUAAAGUUAUAUACAUUUGCAUUUACAUAAUAUUUAAUUUACAUUUUAUAUUCUAGUCUGUACAAAUGAAACCAAAUUAAUCCAUCGCAAGUAUUUUGUGUAAGGCCAGAUCUCUCUGUGGAAGACCGACUGAAAGGAGGUCCCUGAAGAGGAGGAACUCAUCGAAGGGCUGCAGAGACUGACACUGUCAAAAUAAAUUUUAAAUAACUAUCAUACAUGCAUGUAAUGUGUGCAUCAAAAAAUGAAAAUAAAUGUAACAUUUUCUUUCUCUGUCACAAACAAUACAAUAUCAAUACUUACCAUUGCAUUGCUCUGGUCUCACGAACCAUGUGGAAUGCAGGUUCAAUAACUCUCCAAAAGGCCAUUAAAUGGUUCUACAUCUCAAAUCUAGAUUGGAUGAGACAUGUUUUCAGAAAAUACACACCAAACAAUGUAAAAAGUUUGUUUGCCUACACUGAACCUGAAGGAUACUUUAAAAAUGUAUAAUGUAUUGACAUACAAGUGAAGAAAAAAAAAAAAGAUUUUAUCUGGGAUUUUAGCUUAUUCUCCCUCGUGUCAUUCUAAACCGUUAUGAAUUUCUUCUGUGGGGUCUGUCUAAAUAGCUGACUGCCAGUAACAUUAUUUACAACAAGAAAGCAAGCCAGAUGGGUUUACAACGAAUAAUGGUGAGUAUAUGAUGACAGCUUUAUUUUUAUUUUUGGGUGAAUCAUCUAUUAAUCCGUUAACACGUAUUGCCUUGACCCACAGAAGAGGUUUUUAAACAGGCAACCACAGUGACAAUAAAUAAAUAAAUAAUAAUAAUUUCAAAAUUCACAAUAGGCCUUCAUUGUGCUCGGUAAUAUAGUAAUAAGGGUUUAGAUCUUACCUAGUGUAGAUUCGCAUGCUUUUGUUAUUCUUGAAGAGGCGCCUGCAGACUGUAGUAUCAGAAGUGAUGUUGAAAUCCUUACAUCUAACGUUACUACUCUAAAUCCACUUAUUUUGAGUUUCUUCAUCCAGGGGAAAAGUGUGAAAAACCUUUGAGGAGCCUCACAAAACGGGACACAGUAAUAGCUGUGUAAAGCACCCUCACGGAUGUUUAUGGAACUCUUCAUUAAUUAUAUUACUGUGGUAUACUUAGUUUGUUAAAGUAAUAUGUAUAAAUAAAUAUAGAAAUAUUAUUUUAUAAUCAUCGUUUAUUGACAAAAGAUUGCGGCUGGUAAUGCACUCACGCGGCAGAAUACAGAGCGGAACCUUUAUGAGCCCUGAGAUUUCACAGGAAAUACGUAGGCUGUGUGCCGUGCAUAGAGUCUUUUUUUUUUUUUUUUUUUUUUUAUUAA